UACGAAGGGGGCUAGCGUUGCUCGGAAUCACUGGGCGUAAAGGGUGCGUAGGCGGGUCUUUUAAGUCAGAGGUGAAAUCCUGGAGCUCAACUCCAGAACUGCCUUUGAUACUGGGAAUCUCGAGUCCGGAAGAGGUGAGUGGAACUGCGAGUGUAGAGGUGAAAUUCGUAGAUAUUCGCAAGAACACCAGUGGCGAAGGCGGCUCACUGGCCCGAUACUGACGCUGAGGCACGAAAGCGUGGGGAGCAAACAGG
rnacentral:rRNA from 1 species